GCUUUCGUGGUGUAGUGGUCAGCACGCUCGACGCGUAUCCGAGAGGUCCGCGGUUCGAGUUCCGCCGAAGGCA
rnacentral:tRNA from 1 species